AGCAUUUUUUUCCCUGCAAAAAACCAUAGGCAAGAUUGCAACAUGCUUGGAAUUGUGAAGUGCAGCUUUACAGUCCACACAGUCCCAGGAAGAAUUUAAACUGGAGGACCUGAAGAAGCUAGAACCAAUCCUAAAGAAUAUUCUCACGUAUAAUAAAGAAUUUCCAUUUGAUGUUCAGCCUGUCCCAUUAAGGUAAAUAAAUAAGCAUCCAUAUUUUGUCUUCUGAUUUUAUUAUCUAUUUUAUGCC